rnacentral:rRNA from 1 species
CCGCGGGAUUAGAGUUUGAUCCUGGCUCAGAAUCAACGCUGGCGGCGUGCCUAACACAUGCAAGUCGAACGCGAAAGGGGAGCAAUCCCUGAGUAGAGUGGCAAACGGGUGAGUAACACGUGGGUGACCUGCCUUCGAGUGGGGGAUAACGUCCCGAAAGGGACGCUAAUACCGCAUAACAUCCUGUCCUUAGACGGACGGAGAUCAAAGCUAGGGAUCGCAAGACCUGGCGCUUAAAGAGGGGCCCGCGCCUGAUUAGCUAGUUGGUGAGGUAACGGCUCACCAAGGCUACGAUCAGUAUCCGGCCUGAGAGGGCGGACGGACACACUGGGACUGAGACACGGCCCAGACUCCUACGGGAGGCAGCAGUGGGGAAUUGUUCGCAAUGGGCGCAAGCCUGACGACGCAACGCCGCGUGGAGGAUGAAGAUCUUCGGGUCGUAAACUCCUGUCGAACGGGAAGAACGUUUCACGGAUGAAUAAGCUGUGAAAGUGACGGUACCGUUAAAGGAAGCCCCGGCUAACUCCGUGCCAGCAGCCGCGGUAAUACGGGGGGGGCAAGCGUUGUUCGGAAUUACUGGGCGUAAAGGGCUCGUAGGUGGCCAACUAAGUCAGACGUGAAAUCCCCAGGCUUAACCUGGGAACUGCGUCUGAUACUGGAUGGCUUGAAUUCGGGAGAGGGAUGCAGAAUUCCAGGUGUAGCGGUGAAAUGCGUAGAUAUCUGGAGGAAUACCGGUGGCGAAGGCGGCAUCCUGGACCGAGAUUGACACUGAGGAGCGAAAGCUAGGGGAGCAAACGGGAUUAGAUACCCCGGUAGUCCUAGCCCUAAACGAUGAAUGCUUGGUGUGACGGGUAUCGAUCCCUGUC